UAGGGAAUCUUCGGCAAUGGACGAAAGUCUGACCGAGCAACGCCGCGUGAGUGAAGAAGGUUUUCGGAUCGUAAAAACUCUGUUGGUAGAGAAGAACGUUGGUGAGAGUGGAAAGCUCAUCAAGUGACGGUAACUACCCAGAAAGGGACGGCUAACUACGUGCCAA
rnacentral:rRNA from 1 species